UACAAAGGAGUUAACCAUCAAAAGAAAAAUAAAUGCAAAUUUUCCCCCUUUAAAAAAAAAUAGAACACCAGUUACUAGGGUAAAUAACAACUAGGUUGAGUUCUCUCUCUCUCUCCCUUUUUUUUUUUUUUUUUUUGCCCUGUAAAGAAAUGGGGAAAAAGCCAGUUUUUCCCAACAUGGGUAGAAAUGAUAAAGCAGAAUGCGGCGUUUUCAUGGUAGUGAUCCUGGAAGCUUAAUUACACUGUAGUUCUGAGCCGGAAGCGGACAGUCUCCAUCUUCCUGGCAGUCUGUGGGUGUAUUCCUACUCAGCCAGAGCAGCACCAGUGCGAGGGCAAGGAAGAGGACCCAGCUGGAAACUGUGACGCAGGAUUCUUAUUUUAUUGGUUUAUGGCUUGUGGGCAGCUGGCUGGGCCAGCAACUCCAGAGGCCCUGCUAAUGUCUCUUCCUCAUCAACUGUCCCACACUUGGCAGGUCCCCAGCCUGAAAGCAGUGUAGAGCGUACCAGGAGAGGAUGCAGUGGUCAUCCUGGGAAAACCCAGCUCUUCCCACUAACACUGGCUUCAUGUCUGUCGUGUUAGAACUGGCAGGGAAGAGGUGAGUGUGGCCCCCACAACCUAGCCCAAGAACCAGCCUGGGUACCCAUGGAUUAUAUUGGGAGGGGCAGCAGAGAGCAGGACAGAAAGGCUGCUCUGUCAGGAAAGGAGAAGAAAGUAAGGAAGCCCUGAGGCUGCCAUCCUUUCUCCAGGCAGCCUUGAUACUGAAGGCAAUGACAUAGAACAGAAAGCCCUCUAUCUUACAGUUGCUGUUUAAUACUAGCCAAUGCGUGGUGUUUCCUUAGCCAGAUAAAUAGAGGGGCCAUUGGAGAGGGCAAGAGAGGAAUGAACCCACUCAGUAUUCCAUAAAGAGCUUAUCGUUUUGUACCACUGG
rnacentral:lncRNA from 1 species